GACGGACGCUGGCGGCGUGCCUAACACAUGCAAGUCGAGCGAAGUGAGUACUACGGUACGAACUUAGCGGCGGACGGGUGAGUAACGCGUGGACAAUCUACCCUGUAGACUGGGAUAACACCUCGAAAGGGGUGCUAAUACCGGAUAAUGUCGAGAAGCGGCAUCGCUUUUCGAAGAAAGGAGAGAAUCCGCUAUAGGAGGAGUCCGCGUCCCAUUAGCUAGUUGGUGAGGGUAACGGCCCACCAAGGAGACGAUGGGUAGCCGGCCUGAGAGGGUGAACGGCCACACUGGAACUGAGACACGGUCCAGACUCCUACGGGAGGCAGCAGUGGGGAAUAUUGUGCAAUGGGGGAAACCCUGACACAGCAACGCCGCGUGAGCGAAGAAGGCCUUCGGGUUGUAAAGCUCAAUAGUAUGGGGAGAUAAUGACGGUACCAUACGAAAGCCCCGGCUAACUACGUGCCAGCCGCCGCCGUAAUAC
rnacentral:rRNA from 1 species